GGCAAAUCAUUUCAGACCACACACACCUACAGACCACACGAUUUUAGGGAAAAUCAUUUCAGCCUCCCAAAUCGCCUCCAUCUCUAUUCUCAUUCUCAACUCUGAACUUGCCCUCUCUCUAUCUCUGCAACUACAAACUACAAAAUCUACAAGAAUCAGAUCAGCCUCCCAGAUCGCCUCCAUCUCUAUUCUCAUUCUUAACUCUGAACUUGCCCUCUCUCUGUCUCUGCAACUACAAACUACAAAAUCUACAAGAAUCAGAACCCAUAUCGGCAUAUCAUUUCAGAUUGUUCAAAAAAUCAAAACCCAUAUCCUUCAGUUUCAUCGCCCGCUAUUCUAGUUCGGGUUCGCCGUUCGAAAGCUUCAGCCUCAGGCCCGUUAUAUCUCAACUCUCAAGCCCUCUCUACUCUCUCAUAAGGAUGACAUUGAGUAAUAACUUGAAGAUCAGCAAUCGACCAAAAUUACAGAACUCUAUAGUAUGCAGCUGUUAGAGCAUGGACCAAAUGGGAAAUGAUGACUGCUCAUCUUCUUCCAAAUGAAGAGAAUAUCAAGAAAGGGGAUGAUGAUAAGUUUUCAUUGGCAUUCGCAAGAAUUGAGAACCAUUACUUUGUGCUGGUAAUGUAAUUGCAUUCACAUAUUUAGAUGAUAUCUGAGAUUUUGCAAAUUUUGCUUUUAGAUGCUUAACAAAUAACAUGAAAAAGCUGAGGAUUCAAAGCCAGCAACAGUUCCAUCUAUCGCGGGAAGUUGAACAUAGGCUUUUGUUGGAGCUUGGUUUUUAAAGCAUGAAGAGCUAAGUGAUAGGAAAAGGGUAACCUGUUGUAUGCCUUCAUUUGGGGGUUCUCAUUCAUGACAAUUAUUAAAUUAUUUAGUUCAUCUCAGUACGGCUAGGUGUUUUCUGCUCUUUUAAUAAUGUACUGUGCUUUUUCUUUUUCUUUUUCUUCUUUUUUUAUUUUUAUUUUUUUAUUUUAUUUUUUAAAGUAUUGAGACUGGAAUUGGGUCUUCAAGCUCUUAUCGACUUGACAGAUUGCAGGGGGGAGAUAACAGCUUACUUUUGCUCUCUCCCUCAAGCUAAUACAAGCAAGGAUGUAGACUUAUAGAUCCCAACAGACACAAAGCAGUGGCAGCAACCUCCUUUAAUAACACCUAUUAAAUCAAUGAGUAGUGAACCUCUUUGUGUGCAGCUAUAUUUGGAACAUCCAAGUUUCUUUGAACCAAAAGCCUUAAGGAGAGCAGCCACUGCAAUCACUAUAAAGCAGGCUACAAAAAGAAAGCCACCUCUGCUGGAUCAGUCUUGGAGGGCUCAGGAUCUUCUAGGAGCUCAGUGCCAUCAACGAUUAUGAAUGAGUCUCCAUCGGAAAAUGAAAGAAAGCUGCAUGUGAAAACUGAGGUCAAAGAUAGGAUUGCGGGUUGCGGUUGCCGUUACUUUUUUUGUUGCAGCUAUAUUUUUUGUAUGGCUCAUGAAGAAGUUGCAAGAAGAUAUGAAGAAUUUUUGUUUUAUUUUGGUUAAGUAAAUAUAUAAGGUGUGGAUCAUGUAUUUAUUUGAAAUUUGUAUAUGGCUAAUUUUUGUAUAAAACAAUGGUUUGGAAUUGGUUAUAUAUAUAUAUAUAUAUAUAUAUAUAUAUAUAUAUAUGAUGUUAUUGGUCAGUUGUAAAUUAUUUUGGUUAUGAUGCUAUUUUUUAUUUAUUUAGA